UACGGAGGGUGCAAGCGUUAUCCGGAAUCACUGGGCUUAAAGGGCGCGUAGGCGGCUCGUUAAGUCUGAUGUGAAAGCCCUGGGCUCAACCUGGGAAUGGCAUUGGAUACUGGCGACCUAGAGUGCGGUAGAGGGGUGUGGAAUUCCCGGUGUAGCAGUGAAAUGCGUAGAUAUCGGGAGGAACAUCUGUGGCGAAGGCGACACCCUGGACCAGCACUGACACUGAGGCACGAAAGCGUGGGGAGCAAACAGG
rnacentral:rRNA from 1 species